GACGAACGCUGGCGGCGUGCUUAACACAUGCAAGUCGAACGGAAAGGCCCUGCUUUUGUGGGGUGCUCGAGUGGCGAACGGGUGAGUAACACGUGAGUAACCUGCCCUUGACUUUGGGAUAACUUCAGGAAACUGGGGCUAAUACCGGAUAGGAGCUCCUGCUGCAUGGUGGGGGUUGGAAAGUUUCGGCGGUUGGGGAUGGACUCGCGGCUUAUCAGCUUGUUGGUGGGGUAGUGGCUUACCAAGGCUUUGACGGGUAGCCGGCCUGAGAGGGUGACCGGGCACAUUGGGACUGAGAUAGGGACCAGACGCCUACGGGAGGCAGUAGGGGGGAAUAUUGCACAAUGGGCGGAAGCCUGAUGCAGCAACGCCGCGUGCGGGAUGACGGCCUUCGGGUUGUAAACCGCUUUCGCCUGUGACGAAGCGUGAGUGACGGUAAUGGGUAAAGAAGCACCGGCUAACUACGUG
rnacentral:rRNA from 1 species